AUUGAACGCUGGCGGCAUGCCUUACACAUGCAAGUCGAACGGCAGCACGGGAGCAAUCCUGGUGGCGAGUGGCGAACGGGUGAGUAAUAUAUCGGAACGUGCCCAGUCGUGGGGGAUAACGCAGCGAAAGCUGUGCCAAUACCGCAUACGAUCUAAGGAUGAAAGCGGGGGAUCGCAAGACCUCGCGCGAUUGGAGCGGCCGAUAUCAGAUUAGCUAGUUGGUGGGGUAAAGGCCCACCAAGGCGACGAUCUGUAGCUGGUCUGAGAGGACGACCAGCCACACUGGAACGGAGAAACGGGCCAGACACCUACGGGAGGCAGCAGUGGGGAAUUUUGGACAAUGGGCGCAAGCCUGAUCCAGCAAUGCCGCGUGCAGGAUGAAGGCCUUCGGGUUGUAAACUGCUUUUGUACGGAACGAAACGGCCCUUUCUAAUACAGGGGGCUAAUGACGGUACCGUAAGAAUAAGCACCGGCUAACUACGUGCCAGCCGCCGCAGUAACAC
rnacentral:rRNA from 1 species